AAGUCGUAACAAGGUCUCCGUUGGUGAACCAGCGGAGGGAUCAUUACAGAGUUGCAAAACUCCCUAAACCAUCGUGAACCUACCGCUAAACAGUUGCUUCGGCGGGUGGCGGGCGUGCCCCCCCAGGGGGGAAAGCCCGCCGCCGAGCCCGCCGGAGGAAAACCAAAACUCUUGUUUUUACUACCGGCCUCUCUGAGUAUACUUACUUAAAAUAAGUCAAAACUUUCAACAACGGAUCUCUUGGUUCUG
rnacentral:misc_RNA from 1 species